rnacentral:rRNA from 1 species
GAUGAACGCUGGCGGCGUGCUUAACACAUGCAAGUCGAACGAUGAAGCCCAGCUUGCUGGGUGGAUUAGUGGCGAACGGGUGAGUAACACGUGAGUAACCUGCCCUUGACUCUGGGAUAAGCCCGGGAAACUGGGUCUAAUACCGGAUAGGGACGUCCACCGCAUGGUGGUUGUUGGAAAGAUUUAUCGGUCAUGGAUGGACUCGCGACCUAUCAGCUUGUUGGUGAGGUAAUGGCUCACCAAGGCGACGACGGGUAGCCGGCCUGAGAGGGUGACCGGCCACACUGGGACUGAGACACGGCCCAGACUCCUACGGGAGGCAGCAGUGGGGAAUAUUGCACAAUGGGCGAAAGCCUGAUGCAGCGACGCCGCGUGAGGGAUGACGGCCUUCGGGUUGUAAACCUCUUUCAGUAGGGAAGAAGCGAAAGUGACGGUACCUGCAGAAGAAGCACCGGCUAACUACGUGCCAGCAGCCGCCGCAG